rnacentral:rRNA from 1 species
GACGAACGCUGGCGGCGUGCUUAACACAUGCAAGUCGAACGGAAAGGCCCUGCUUUUGUGGGGUGCUCGAGUGGCGAACGGGUGAGUAACACGUGAGUAACCUGCCCUUGACUUUGGGAUAACUUCAGGAAACUGGGGCUAAUACCGGAUAGGAGCUCCUGCUGCAUGGUGGGGGUUGGAAAGUUUCGGCGGUUGGGGAUGGACUCGCGGCUUAUCAGCUUGUUGGUGGGGUAGUGGCUUACCAAGGCUUGGACGGGUAGCCGGCCUGAGAGGGUGACCGGCCACAUUGGGACUGAGAUACGGCCCAGACUCCUACGGGAGGCAGCAGUGGGGAAGAUUGCACAAUGGGCGGAAGCCUGAUGCAGCAACGCCGCGUGCGGGAUGACGGCCUUCGGGGUGUAAACCGCUUUCGCCUGUGACGAAGCGUGAGUGACGGUAAUGGGUAAAGAAGCACCGGCUAACUACGUG